rnacentral:rRNA from 1 species
UACGUAGGUGACAAGCGUUGUCCGGAUUUACUGGGCGUAAAGCGCGCGCAGGCGGCGGUGUAAGCAUGGCGUGAAAGCCCCAGGCUCAACCUGGGAGGGUCGUCGUGGACUGCACCGCUUGAGGGCGGUAGGGGCUGGUGGAAUGCCUGGUGUAGUGGUGAAAUGCGUAGAGAUCAGGCGGAACACCCGUGGCGAAGGCGGCCAGCUGGGCCGUCCCUGACGCUGAGGCGCGAAGGCGUGGGGAGCGAACGGG